GACGAACGCUGGCGGCGUGGAUUAGGCAUGCAAGUCGAACGGUAUCAUCCUUUCGGGGGUGAGAGAGUGGCGAACUGGUGAGUAACACGUAGGUUAUCUACCCUCAAGACGGGGACAACCCAGGGAAACUUGGGCUAAUACCGGAUGUGAGCAACUUUUAGUGUUUGAAAGGUGGCGUAAGCUGUCGCUUGGGGAUGAGCCUGCGUCCUAUUAGUUAGUUGGUGAGGUAACGGCUCACCUAGGCAAUGAUAGGUAGGCGGCCUUAACGGGUGGUCGCCCACACUGGGAUUGAGAUACGGCCCAGACUCCUACGGGAGGCAGCAGUCGAGAAUAGUCUACAAUGGUCGGAAGACUGAUAGUGCGACGCCGCGUGAACGAUGAAUCCCUUCGGGGUUAAAGUUCUUUUAUAUGUGAGCAGUGCUUCUUAUAUUAACAGUAUGGGGAAGAGAUAUUAGCAUAUGAAUAAGCAAGGCUAACUCCGUGCCAGCAGCCGCGGUAAAA
rnacentral:rRNA from 1 species